UUACCGAAGAGGUUAUAAGUGGAAAUAUUUUUUGAAAAAUUAUAGGUUUGUUGUCUUCUUUUAUUUAUUUUUACUAUUUUGCUGUCGUGUUUCCUCAAUAUUUUUAAUAGGGUAAUAGUUAUUGAUAUGAAUAUUUUAAAAAUCCAUUUCAUAAAUUAUUAUUUUUUGUUUGCAAUAAGACCAAACUGAAAAAUUACUUGAAGAGACGAAGCCGGAGCCAAGUACAUUAAUGCUUAAUGCUUGGACAGUUGAGUUAAUAUUAAUUAAGUUAAGAAAAUUAUUGUUAAAACAAAAGAGGCAAACAUAAUAUUAUUAACUACAACGGAAGUAAGUAUUAUGAAACUAAACUUGAAGGGUAGUUUGUGCAAUUAUCUCUUUUAUCUUUUGAUUAUAAUGAUUUUGUAGAAAAAUAAUUUAACAUGAGUGAUUUUAUAAAAGAAAAUUCAUAAGUUGAAUGACUUUAUUGAUACAAAAUUAAGUUGAGUACUUUCUUAAAUAAUUUCACAUACUUGAGUGAUCUUUUGAGAUAUUUAUUCUUUGAAUCGUUGGCAUUUACCUAUCUAAUGAGCUAUUAAAUUUAUCUUUUGAGGUCUACAAUUUUCUUCUGCCCAUAAUUUCCAAUUACUAGCAAACAAGGUAGUCUUGAACGACUUAUCUAGUCCAC
rnacentral:lncRNA from 1 species